GGGGGCCCUCAGCAUCGGUGGGAAGGAACACGACCUCCCUGAAGACAACUCCCCUAAUGGAGAAUGAUGUAUCUCAUUCUAUUCAUGAGCUCUAUUGAUUGUGUCGGCGGCGUACACGCGGAGGUCAACCUGCUGCACGCCGGAGAGAAUCGAAGAUUACAUCAUUUCAUCUUCGAGGGCCUUUCGUGCUCAUCCAUCAGGCUCACAUAUGGCGUUUGCUUCGAUGAAUGGAACUUGCCGAAAUGAGCAGGCGAUGAUGAAUGAGUUCUGCGUGUGUAAAAUCCCACCCAGGUCUCAGCUUCCUCCUUCCGACGGUACGUAACGCGCUGGAGGAUCGACCGGCCUCACAAGGGACGAGGUGACCUCGGGCUGAAGGUGUCCUCAGCGACCGGCAUCCCGCUGCAGACGGACCUCCGGCUGUGUGCACUACACUUCAAAAAGGGGACAAUGGCUCACAAACGGCAAAACUCUUUGCUCUCACACGUCCUUAUUGUUCCAGUAAGAUUAACAAAUGAUAAAUGAAAGUGGAUUUACUUCGGAAACAGAUGAUCAAUGGGACUAUUUUAAAGAGUGAAUGUGAAUCUGCCAAACGGUCUUUCACACACGGACCGAUGGGAUAAAAAGGUUUGCCAGCGAGGUUCAAAAUAACAGUAAUAAUUCAUGGGGGAAGCAGACGGGAUGAUGGGAUGAAAUGAGUGACGCCUGAAACACUCGAUGGAACAGCUUCACACUUCAGGGAUCCACUUUCUCGGCGGCAGUUGAAUACGAGCUUCAACUCCACAAGAGAACUCUGGAGACGAUCCCCGGUCCGUCUGCCGGGCUCCCGUCGUGAAGAGAGCAUGAGACAUCUAUUGAUAUUUACUUCGGUGUCGAUAACGUGUAAGAACAACCUUUGAAUCUUGGUCACAAACCAAAACAACUGCAGGUUGUGUGCACAUAAAGACACUUGAACGCGCUUUAUUCUCGUGCCGUGUGUCUCUCGCCUUCCUGUUGCCAUGGUGAUUUUCAAAAGCGCCUGAAGUGCAAAUAAAAGUAUGAAACACUUUGUGUGUAAAUGGGGAGUCAGCGUCGGGACGAGGCUCCAGCACCAUUAAGAUUCCUCUUCUUUAUAAAAACAAAACUUAAAAUUAAAAUGUCAAAUGUGAUGUCUAACCCUCAAUUUAAAAAAUAGUUGUGUUGACAACCACUUUGGAAAAGUGAUCCAGAGGUUUUAAUUAGAGGUUCGAGUGGAUUAAGUUGUGGGUCCUAAUUAGCGUGUGAGCCGUUGAGUUUCGGAGGUCACGGUGACCUUUUUGCGCUCGCUUUACCGCUUUAUCAAAUACUGUGAGUAUAAGCCAAACCGAGGGGUGAUGAGUGCCUGGAACGUGUUGGUAGCUGCUAGGCCACUUCCAUCUCAACAUCUGCCCUGCAGGGGACCACCACUGUGUCCCUCAAAGACAGCGGCUUAGGAAAACGUCCCGGCUAAAUGUCGGGAGAUGUUGGCACUUCGAACACAGCCGUCAAAUGAUGGAGAGCAGAGAGCACAGCAGAGUCGCUCGUUCGACACUCCCCACUCCUUCGCCAAGUCCAGGCAUGGACCGGCCUCCUCCUUCAUUGGUAAAUAUCAUUGCCCAGUAAGUGUCUUUUUCCAACUUUAUAGACUGGAAAGUAGCACGGCACAGCCUCUGAGGGAUUAAUCCGUUCCAUCUCAUCCAUUUUCUUCUUUGGGGAAAUGCGAGAACGUACAUAUGUAUAUUGUUGUGUUCAAAAAUGAAGAAACGCCGGACGGACAGAGGUCAUCGCAGAUCAAAAGGUUAAAUCAAAUGUAUUUAAUAAAAGAGAUGGCGUUGUGUUAAAAAGAACAUCUCAGCUGAGGAGCCGCUGGGAGUGGUCUUCUGGUGAGUUCAAUGUAACUUGGAUUUCGAAUGAUCCAUAGUCAAUAUCGGUUGUUGUGCAAGUAUUACAUGCAUGCAUUCCAGUUGAUUACAUUACAUCAAAUACAAUCAUAACUGCACAUUGGUAUUGUUCUAUUACAGUUUCAGAAUUACAGUGGUUUUACGAUAUUGUCAUUACUUUAUUGAUUACAGUUUCAGAAUCAUGGCUGUAUUCUGGUGUACACUAUAUGCAUUUUAAUUAAUUUUAUGAACCGGGUCGUAUAUUUGUUUCUAAUAUCCUACAAUAUGUGUGUGUAUAUGUGUGCGUGUGUAUCAACUGGCAGCUAGCUAACACAGAUCAUGGCACGGGGGUGUUUUUUUCCAGAUCCCCCACCAUUCAAACGCUCCAACAUGAAUUAAGAACCCUUUAACCUCUCAAAGAACCAUUUAAUAUCCCAAAGAAUCAUAUGAAAAACAUGCAGAACCGUCUAACGUUAAAUGGUGUUUUUUUUUUUUGUAGAACCACGCUGCCUUCAAAAGGAUUAAUUAAGAACCUUUUUUGCUGUGUUCGGUGAUUCUCUGCAUUCUCGUUCUUUCCAUUUUCUCCGACAUUAGCACCUUUGUGGUCGAGCACCGAGCUCUACGUCGUUUUAAAACAAUGCCGUGCUACUGCUGAAUUUACUAAUGAGGGUUAUUAUACCAGCACGCCAAAGGGGGCUCAAAAGGAGCACCAAGAUGAAGACCGUUUCAACAAAAACUGUUUCAACACUGAAUUCAAGCACUGAUUUUAACCAACGUCAGCUAUCGCGAAGACAUUAAAAGCGGUCUUGUAAAUUAUGCUACUUUUCAAACAAUACUUGUAAUUAAUGAAUUCCUACAAGCUAUUAGCACUCAUUAGCAACUUUAUAAAACCUGGGGGGAGAAAACAUUAAAUCUACAGUAGCAGAAGUAUGAAAUAAAGGUUGUAGGGCCUGAAGGAGCUGCUGGAGUCAAUGGAACAUUGAGCUUAGGCAAGAAGUAAACUUCUGCGCCUCGUUAGUCGGCCCGUCUUUAUCAGAGAGGGCGAGAACAAAAUAUACCCGCUCGCGUCUAUGCGUUUUCACAAUCCUCUAUCAGAGAAUGUAGAAGACCUUCCGUGUAUUAGUUUCUAGUGCCGUAGUUGCAAGGCAAUGUAAAUGAAUGGGCCAAAAUAAAACGUAGUAUUGUCACGAUUUGGGGGAGAAAGCGCGACAAUACCACGUUAGUCCAACGUAGCUAUUGGCUGUGAGACUGGGUUGGGUAUUUAUAGAGAUCCGUAAAGGUGUGAAACGUAGCGUCCACACCUCUGGGAGUGGUCU
ensembl:lncRNA